rnacentral:rRNA from 1 species
CUCGUAGGCGGUUCGUCGCGUCCGGUGUGAAAGUCCAUCGCUUAACGGUGGAUCCGCGCCGGGUACGGGCGGGCUGAGUGCGGUAGGGGAGACUGGAAUUCCCGGUGUAACGGUGGAAUGUGUAGAUAUCGGGAAGAACACCAAUGGCGAAGGCAGGUCUCUGGGCCGUUACUGACGCUGAGGAGCGAAAGCGUGGGGAGCGAACA